AGAGUUUGAUCAUGGCUCAGGACGAACGCUGGCGGCACGCUUAACACAUGCAAGUCGAACGAGAGAAGAGGAGCUUGCUUUUCUGAUCUAGUGGCGGACGGGUGAGUAACACGUGAGCAAUCUGCCUUUCAGAGGGGGAUACCGAUUGGAAACGAUCGUUAAUACCGCAUAACAUAAUUGAACCGCAUGAUUUGAUUAUCAAAGAUUUAUCGCUGAAAGAUGAGCUCGCGUCUGAUUAGCUAGUUGGUAAGGUAACGGCUUACCAAGGCGACGAUCAGUAGCCGGACUGAGAGGUUGAUCGGCCACAUUGGGACUGAGACACGGCCCAGACUCCUACGGGAGGCAGCAGUGGGGAAUAUUGCACAAUGGAGGAAACUCUGAUGCAGCGAUGCCGCGUGAGGGAAGAAGGUUUUAGGAUUGUAAACCUCUGUCUUCAGGGACGAAAAAAGACGGUACCUGAGGAGGAAGCUCCGGCUAACUACGUGCCUGCAGCCGCGGUAAUACGUAGGGAGCGAGCGUUGUCCGGAAUUACUGGGUGUAAAGGGAGCGUAGGCGGGAUCGCAAGUCAGAUGUGAAAACUAUGGGCUUAACCCAUAAACUGCAUUUGAAACUGUGGUUCUUGAGUGAAGUAGAGGUAAGCGGAAUUCCUAGUGUAGCGGUGAAAUGCGUAGAUAUUAGGAGGAACAUCAGUGGCGAAGGCGGCUUACUGGGCUUUAACUGACGCUGAGGCUCGAAAGCGUGGGGAGCAAACAGGAUUAGAUACCCUGGUAGUCCACGCCGUAAACGAUGAUUACUAGGUGUGGGGGGACUGACCCCUUCCGUGCCGCAGCAAACGCAAUAAGUAAUCCACCUGGGGAGUACGACCGCAAGGUUGAAACUCAAAGGAAUUGACGGGGGCCCGCACAAGCAGUGGAGUAUGUGGAUUAAUUCGAAGCAACGCGAAGAACCUUACCAGGUCUUGACAUCGUAUGCAUAGCUCAGAGAUGAGUGAAAUCUCUUCGGAGACAUAUAGGCAGGUGGUGCAUGGUUGUCGUCAGCUCGUGUCGUGAGAUGUUGGGUUAAGUCCCGCAACGAGCGCAACCCUUACUGUUAGUUGCUACGCAAGAGCACUCUAGCAGGACUGCCGUUGACAAAACGGAGGAAGGUGGGGAUGACGUCAAAUCAUCAUGCCCCUUAUGACCUGGGCCUCACACGUACUACAAUGGCUGUCAACAGAGGGAAGCAAAGCCGCGAGGUGGAGCGAACCCCUAAAAGCAGUCUUAGUUCGGAUUGUAGGCUGCAACCCGCCUACAUGAAGUCGGAAUUGCUAGUAAUCGCAGAUCAGCAUGCUGCGGUGAAUACGUUCCCGGGCCUUGUACACACCGCCCGUCACGCCAUGGGAGUCGGUAACACCCGAAGCCUGUAGUCUAACCGCAAGGAGGACGCAGUCGAAGGUGGGAUUGAUGACUGGGGUGAAGUCGUAACAAGGUA
rnacentral:rRNA from 1 species